UUGUGUUAAUAGGAAAUAAGAUAAAAUUGUAACACGAUAAUAUUCACAUUCUUCCUUCUCCCUCCAAAGUGAAUUCAAUCUCUGUCUGUUCAGGUUCCUCAUAUCACUGCCACCAUGACCCCCAAGCUACCUUCACCAUCCCCAUCAAUGACAUCUUACCUUAAGAGACGGCAAGGACUGGGCUGGGUGGCUCAGCCUGUAAUCCCAGCACUUUGGGAGGCCAAGGCGGGUGGAUCACCUGAGGUCAUGAGUUCAAGACCAGCCUAGCCAACAUGAUGAAAUCCUUUCUCUACUAAAAAUACAAAAAAUC
rnacentral:lncRNA from 1 species